rnacentral:misc_RNA from 1 species
GAUGAAGAACGCAGCGAAAUGCGAUACGUAAUGUGAAUUGGAGAAUUCAGUGAAUCAUCGAGUCUUUGAACGCACAUUGCGCCCCCUGGUAUUCCGGGGGGCAUGCCUGUCCGAGCGUCAUUGCUGCCCUCAAGCACGGCUUGUGUGUUGGGCCUCCGUCCUCCUCCCGGGGGACGGGCCCGAAAGGCAGCGGCGGCACCGCGUCCGGUCCUCGAGCGUAUGGGGCUUCGUCACCCGCUCUUGUAGGCCCGGCCGGCGCUUGCCGACACAUCAAUCUUUUUUCCAGGUUGACCUCGGAUCAGGUAGGGAUACCCGCUGAACUUAAGCAUAUCAAUAAGCGGAGGA